rnacentral:lncRNA from 1 species
GAUGUAGCUAACUGAUCUUCUACAUUUAUAAUCAAGAACUGUUCGUGUUUCAGGCGCUUGUUUCCACUGUAAGGAUUUAAAAUGGCUGACACAAAAAUCAUACUAAAUUCUAUAACUUGUAAAAUAGAGUGAAUGCAAUCACACUUACAAGUUUCAUUGCUCUAGGAGAAAAGGGAAAAUUUUUCUAAGGUAUUAAAGGUCCCAGCAAGUAGCCUAGCUAUGUGUUUGUGUGUGUUUAGCAUUGUUGUAUCCAUGAGUAUAGCUUGUAAUUCUUGAUAUAUAUGUAAAUUGUAGCUAUUGCAGUGGUUUUCAACUUUCUUUAUAUCUGUAUUUGGAAGAUAUCUUGAGAUUUCAUGAGAGCCGCAAUUUUCGUUCAUAUUUGUACUCACAUGAACUGUGUUAAGUAUCUGGUUGCCUAUUUUGGCAUUAUAGACGAAGGUUAUUGUGAGGAUAUAGACUUUGAUCCCAAUUAUUUUCUUCCUGGAUAAAGAUAUCAUGAUUUAUUACAAUUUUUAUAAUAAAUUUUAAUUAAUUUAA